UGUAGCGUAAUGGGUAGCGCGUUGGACUUCUAAUCCAAAGAUUGUGGGUUCAAAUGGCAGAAUCCCACUUAA